rnacentral:rRNA from 1 species
CCUACGGGAGGCAGCAGUGGGGAAUAUUGGGCAAUGGGCGCAAGCCUGACCCAGCAACGCCGCGUGAAGGAAGAAGGCUUUCGGGUUGUAAACUUCUUUUCUCAGGGACGAAGCAAGUGACGGUACCUGAGGAAUAAGCCACGGCUAACUACGUGCCAGCAGCCGCGGUAAUACGUAGGUGGCAAGCGUUAUCCGGAUUUACUGGGUGUAAAGGGAGUGUAGGCGGGAAGGCAAGUCAGAUGUGAAAACCAUGGGCUCAACCUGUGGCCUGCAUUUGAAACUGUUUUUCUUGAGUACUGGAGAGGCAGACGGAAUUCGUAGUGUAGCGGUGAAAUGCGUAGAUAUUAGGAAGAACACCAGUGGCGAAGGCAGUCUGCGGGACAGCAACUGACGCUGAGGCGCGAAAGCGUGGGGAGCAAACAGGAUUAGAUACCCCAGUAGUC